CAGUGGCCUCCCAUGGCAUAAGGGGCACUAAUUGAAUUUAAAGAUGUCAUAAGCCGGAAGCUCUCCUGCUCACUUCAUAUCACAAUGAAUUCCAAUUCAACAGCACUGGCAGCAGCAGCAGCACCGGAACAGCACUGAGGAGCUGUAAAGUUCACUGAUGAGUGUUAGCUGAGGACAAGGCAGGUCUAGUUAGAACAAGGAUUGCAAAGAGCAAGACUGCAGUCAGUCAGUGAGAAAUGGGUACAGCAGGAGAAGCAAAGAGAAAAGGCAGAGGAAGGCAGAACCUGCACAGAGUGAGAACCUGGGACACAGCAGUACCUCCAAGUUGACAGACUCAUUUUUAGAAUAAAGGCUCUCUGGCUGCUCCAGUUUCCUCACUGUGUGCCACUCACCCCAGUGAAAGAACAUGAAAAGAAAUUAAGAGACUGUGGGAGAGAGAUUCUGCUUUCACCUUUCCUAAGAUCCGUGGGACAGGGAGUAACAAGAAAUACAGUUUUGUAUUUCUAUCCUUCCCCACAACACAAACUGCUUUGACAGGAAAUUUGCAGAUUGCUACCUCAUUUUUAUCUCUUCUCCAUGCAUUCUCCUUUCCCUGAAAGC